GUGACAGUUUUUUGCUUUUAUUUUGGGUUUCUCAUGACAACUUCAAACAUGGUCUUGGCGACCUCCCUUCUUCUCUUCCAUUCCGUCGUUUUUCCUCGAACACUUCGGUAUCUCUCACGCUACACAAACAAAACUCAUCUUCUCUACCUCCGCCGCCACCGUCUUCUUAUCUUCUCCGACUGUCAGCAACUCCAUCCGAAGCCCUAGUGCAGAAAAUAGGAAAAUCUGUUUGCCAUCCCCGCGAGCCUUCAAAUGCCCAGGAAACUGAAAAGAUUGCUUCUUUGUCAAGAUUAAGCUUGUUUUUGGAGACCCUUUUUGAAAUUGUAGUGAAAAAAGAUCAUAUAAUUUGUCAAAGGGAGCUUUGGAGUAUUUGCUGUGUAUGGUGAGGAGGGUGGGAUUCCAGAUAAGAGAAGUUCUUGGUUGACACUCUUUGAUGUGGAAGUUCCCACGACUAAAGUUCCAUAAAGUAAAGGCAAGUUCUUGGCUGCAAAUCAGGCUUUAGAAGUUGCUAGAAAUGAUCUAUACUAUGAUUGGAGAACUAGGCAAGAUGUACUUACUCUAAUGCUCCUACACGAAAAGGUACUUCUUUGAAUUAAUAUGUGUAUUGAACUUGGAAACCUGGUAAAAUACAACAUUCACUGUCUUUAUCUAGGUCUAUUGACAAGUUUGUUGCGUUGCUGGUUUCUAUUGUACCUUCCUUAGAGUUGUUUAAAUUUUCUUGAUCUUUAUCGUAUUCUACGUUAUAUUCUAAUCAUUUACAAUACAACAUGUACAUUCUUCUAUGGGUAUUUUCAUAGUUAUGCUUCCCUUUUCCACUAGUUCAUCUCUUACAAAAUUUAUUAUCUAAAGGAACAGAAUUGAGGUUGACGACAUGCCCAAACAAUCUCAAGCGACCUCUCAUUUGAAACUCAAUGUGUGCUACUUGAAAUGCUGGAUCUAGAAUUGGAGCUUUCACUUAUAUGAUUCCUAGUAACUUCAUGUGUAUAGGUUGCCUAAGGAACUACAUGUCUUAAUGUUUGCAUUCGGUUCUCUUAGUCUUUGUAUAAAUUGCCUAAGGAACAUCAUGUUUUGGACAUCAUUGUGGAUCAGAAGUUCUUCUGUAUUUCAAUCAUUUGUCUCUAUUUUUGUCAGUCCCUCCUUUGUGUAUCUAAUUUCCCAUCACAAGAGAACUCGCAAUCUCUGGAAUCAGUGCGCCUUGGAAAAUAUGCAGAGUGGUUUAAUGUUGUCUUCUCGACUGAUAUAUCCGAAAAGUGUGAGAAUGUUCUUGGUCGACUAUCAGAAAAGCAUAUAUGCAAAACUAUGUUGCUGCUCAGCGGCUUAGGUGAUGCAUGUAUACUGAUUAUAUCCUAAAGGUACUUUCUUAAUUCUUUUCAACUUCUUCCUCUUGAAAUUUUGCAUUCCCAGCUGCUCCAACAUGUCGCUUCCUUUCACUGCUGCUGGUAGUUGAUUAUAUGUGUAGAAGUGUUGACUAAAGUCUAAUAUAUGACUCAAUUUCGAAAGGUAAUCAGCAGAAUUGGUGUGAGAAUUAUUUCAUGUCUACAAUUUUCCAACACAAAGAUAAGAUCAUUCCAGUUGUGUGACCACUGAAUAUAGGGGAAACAGUGAUGAAAAUUUGAACGAUAUUUUUUGCAGAUUAACUUCACUCUCCACAUAUUGAAUUGUUUGGCACCAUAUUUUACUGCACAUCCAUUUUUCCACAGGUUCCAACAUAUAACGAUGGGAAGGGCCUGAUUCAUGAGCUUGUGAGCCUCAUUUUUAUGUUGCAUAUUACCCCACUACAUAAAAAGAUUUCUUAGUAUUGAGCAUAUUAAAUACAUGAUUUAUUUCACUAACUUGUAUUUUUAUUUUGAAUGUGCAGGAAAAUGCCGGUAAUUGAAUUUGAAUAGUGGCUAGAAGUAAACUUGAUCCAUUCCAGUGAAAAAUGAAGAGUUUUUGUACAAUUAUCAUAUUUGUUUGUAUGCAUUUGGUUUUGUGGAAUUUAUUGAUAGUAUAGAUCUUUAUGAAAUUGCUUUCUAAGUAUUGGUUGUACAAGACAUGUUUGUCGAAGUUUAUUUUAAAUAUAUAGUUUUGCUUUAUUUAUUAGCUAA